ACCGUCCAUCGGAUCGUUUAUAUAAAAACAUAUAGAUAUAGCCGUGCGUGGGAUUGCUAGGUUCCGUUAAUACAUUGGUUUCCUAAUACUCCCCGCUUGGUUUGGUGCAUAAAAAGAGCUUUGGUUGAUGCUCGAUUCUCUCGAAACUCUGGCACUCGAGAUUGAUCAUGCAGGAUUUGAGGGUGGGAUUCUUAUAAGUAUGUUUUGGAAGUGAAGGUCCUUAGAACUGCAACAAAUAUGUUCAAUGUGGAAUUUGUUUAUGCAAGAGUUUAAGGGAAAUUUCAGUAGAACAAGAGGAUAGCCCUGCAGGUCCACGGGAAUCCAUUAGUCUCUUGAAUCUGUUUGAUCCCAUCAACAUGACAGUUAUAAGACAAUAACUAGGGGCUCUCAACCUUGGUAUGAUUGCAGUUGACUUUACAGUUCAUCUUAACUUGCAACGUGAUUCAGAUUUAACAAUGUCUCGUGUGGACGGCAAAACGCAUUCAUUAUCGGAAACAACAAAAUAGAUGACGAGCAUCAACAGAAAAAUAUGAGUGUCAUAUAAAUCUGUUUCCAUAAGUGCAUUUGUUUCCAAAUUCUAAUACCAAGAGAUGUAUUAAAGACUUCGCGACAUAUCUUCUGUGAGUAUUCUGUUCGUAUCAAUAGGCUUUUCGUGCGUUAUAUUUUUAUGAUUGAUUAUAGUACUGUAAUAUAUCUUUCUAGAAAGACUAAGCUGUCUGCACAUAUUGGCUUUUUGAUUGAUUGAUUACAGUCUCCUACAUUAUCGGUUUACGAAUAUUAGUUGGUUUAGUUAACGUUCUUUUAAAUAAUGGCAGCAGAUGUGAUUCGGGAGAUAUAAAUUUCCUUACUCUUGGGUUCCCAAUGGUACUCCUAUUUCAUGCAAAACUAAUAAUUUGGUUCGUUGUUGUUGGCUGCAAUCGGUUUUGGUGGUAUGUGUGAAGAAUUAGGAGAAAUUUUGAGAGGUAAAGACAAGCAUGGAACAGGUAACACGAGUUUUAAGAAUUCUGGGUCAAUCUAAGAAUUCACGUUGGGAUAUCACUGCUAAAGAGGAAAAUUGUAUUACACGUAUGUAUUAAACUUGAUGAAACUGAUUGGAGGAAAAAAAAGGUAACACAAGUACGUUAAUUUUCCAUAAGAUUUCUGCACUUGGAUCCCUAUAUAAAAGUUCUCUAUAAUGUUUUUGGUCCUAAUUGAGAUAACUAUGAUCACUUCUCCGUAAGCUUUUGGAUUCGAAGUUUUUUUUUUUUUUGAAGCAUGUUUUAACCAUAAUGGUUUUUACCACGGCCUACAGACACGAAAACUAUGUUGCAGCUGUAUUCGAUGGCCCAAGAGGUAUUGCUAGAUCCAAGCCCCAAUUUCCUACCCAAGGAUGUUCGAAAAAACAUCACAAACAGUGCGACUUGAUCAUAGAUAGAAAGCCGUAAUUGUUACGAAUAAAGGUUAUUUUAUUAGAAUUCCUUGGUAUUGCAUUUUCAAUUGAAA